rnacentral:rRNA from 1 species
AGACGAACUGUCCAAACGUUAUUCGGAAUCACUGGGCUUAAAGGGUGCGUAGGCGGACCUGCAAGUGGGAUCUGAAAUCCCUCGGCUCAACCGAGGAACUGGGUCCCAAACUGCCGGACUAGAGUGAGACAGGGGUAAGUGGAACUUGCGGUGGAGCGGUGAAAUGCUUUGAUAUCGCAAGGAACACCGGUGGCGAAGGCGACUUACUGGGUCUUAACUGACGCUGAAGCACGAAAGCCAGGGUAGCGAACGGGAUUAGAUACCCCGGUAGUCCUGGCUGUAAACUCUGAGUACUUGGUCGGAGGGGCCUCCAUACCUUUCCGGCCGUAGCGAAAGUUUUAAGUACUCCGCCUGGGGAGUAUGGUCGCAAGGCUGAAACUCAAAUGAAUUGACGGGG